rnacentral:lncRNA from 1 species
CUAGGACACCUCUCCAGGAGAAAAUGCUCCCAAACAGGGCCAGUAGCCCACUGGGAACAGACAGAGCCACUUGAGAAAUGACUGUGUGCUCUGCCAGGAGAGUUCAGUUGGGAUAAUUGCACCAGAUCGUCAGAGAACAAUAGGAGUGGUAAGCACAGAUUAAACCACCACUGUUUCUACUGUACAUCCCCUCCCCAGCUGGCAGAGCAGAGUGGGAUGUCUCCAGCUGGUUGUCAAGGGAAGAACCUGAACUGUGUGGAACAAAGGAGGAUCUGCUUGUCUCAACAGAAAAUGGCAGGACCUGCAUUAAGCACUUUACUGUCCUGCAAGGAAGGCUGGAUUUACCUCAAGCUAAAGCACAGCUCAGCCAUUCAAUUACAUACCAGAAACAGUCAGAGGCCUGAAGAAC